UACAGAGGGGGCAAGCGUUGUUCGGAAUUACUGGGCGUAAAGGGCGCGUAGGCGGCCUGUUAAGUCGAACGUGAAAUCCCCGGGCUCAACCCGGGAACUGCGUCCGAUACUGGCAGGCUUGAAUCCGGGAGAGGGAUGCGGAAUUCCAGGUGUAGCGGUGAAAUGCGUAGAUAUUGGGAAGAACACCAGUGGCGAAGGCGGCUAUCUGGACGGUUUCUGACACUAAGACUCGAAAGCGUGGGGAGCAAACAGG
rnacentral:rRNA from 1 species